GCGGAGGAAAAGAAACCAACAGGGAUUGCCUCAGUAACGGCGAGUGAAGCGGCAAGAGCUCAACUUUGGAAUCGCUCCGGCGAGUUGUAGUCUGGAGGUGGCCACCACGAGGUGUUCUAGCAGCAGGCAAGUCCUUUGGAACAAGGCGCCAGCGAGGGUGACAGCCCCGUACCUGCUUUUGCUAGUGCUUCCUGUGGCCCACCGACGAGUCGAGUUGUUUGGGAAUGCAGCUCUAAGUGGGUGGUAAAUUCCAUCUAAGGCUAAAUAUUGGCGAGAGACCGAUAGCGAACAAGUACAGUGAUGGAAAGAUGAAAAGCACUUUGAAAAGAGAGUGAAACAGUACGUGAAAUUGUUGAAAGGGAAGGGCUUGCACCCAGACACGGUUUCGGCCGGGCCAGCAUCAAGUAGAACGGGGUUAAAAGACUUGGGGAAUGUAGCUACUUCGGUAGUGUUAUAGCCCUUGGUGAUGACCCCUGUUUUGCUUGAGGACAGCGGUCUCUAGGAUGCUGGCGCAAUGGUUGCAAGCCACCCGUC
rnacentral:rRNA from 1 species